AGGGAAAAUGAUUGGCACCAUUGUAGAUACGACAGAUUUGGUUCCGAUGAUCUAGCUUCGACGGUGACACCUCGGGUCGUAUUCCACCAUCUGUCACUUGGUUGUGAAUGGAGGAUCCUGAUUUGCGACGAGUUACCUUAUGUGGGAUUUCUUUUGGCACGCGCGAUAUUUGAGGCGGGUACCUCUUGACUUAUCUUUUAUGAUAAUGUCUUUGGAUAUGCAUAGUAUUUU